CCCUUCGUGGUGUAACGGUAGCACACUCGACGUGUAUUCGAGAGGUCCAGGUUCGAAUCCCGGCGAGAGAA
rnacentral:tRNA from 1 species